AGCGAAUAGAUACCCAGGUAGUCCACGCCCUAAACGAUGUCAACUAGUUGUCGGGGAUUAACUUCCUUGGUAAACGCAGCUAAACGCGUGAAGUUGACCGCCUGGGGAGUACGGUCGCAAGAUUAAAACUCAAAGGAAUUGACGGGGACCCGCACAAGCGGUGGAUGAUGUGGAUUAAUUCGAUGCAACGCGAAAAACCUUACCUACCCUUGACAUGUCUGGAACCCUGCUGAGAGGUGGGGGUGCUCGAAAGAGAGCCAGAACACAGGUGCUGCAUGGCUGUCGUCAGCUCGUGUCGUGAGAUGUUGGGUUAAGUCCCGCAACGAGCGCAACCCUUGUCAUUAGUUGCUACGAAAGGGCACUCUAAUGAGACUGCCGGUGACAAACCGGAGAAGGUGGGGAUGACGUCAAGUCCUCAUGGCCCUUAUGGGUAGGGCUUCACACGUCAUACAAUGGUCGGUACAGAGGGUAGCCAACCCGCGAGGGGUAGCCAAUCCCAGAAAACCGAUCGUAGUCCGGAUUGCAGUCUGCAACUCGACCGC
rnacentral:rRNA from 1 species